CUAUGGCGGGGGCGGGGCGUGGAGUGUGAGCGCGGGGGGUCCGCGAGGCUGAGGCUGACAGUGAGUGUGAGGGCCAUGGAGCCGCCCGAGCAGGAGAAGCUGCAGCGCCGCCAGCAACAGCAGCAGCAAGAGCUCGAGCUCGAGCUCCAGCGUCAGCACCAGGAGCGGCCGGGAGCCCCGCCCCAUCCCAACUGCCCGCUCGCUCUGGCCGUCCAUUCCUACUGGUUCGACUUGUGGCUCUUUGUGCUCUUCGACCUGGUGCUGUUUGCCAUCGUUUACCUACUGUGACCGCCCGACCCCGACCCCGGAAACCCACGGACCGCCUCCUCCCGACACCGCGCUCGGGGAAAGUUGGUUUCGGCUCCACUCCCCGACUGGCGGUGGUUACCUUGGAAGUGAUGCAUGUCAGAGACUUUUAUCGCUGUGGAUUUCCAUGUUUACAGAUCAACAAAUGGGAACAACUGCACGUUUAUAGAGUGGAGCAUUUGACAGACGUUCCAACAUUCCAAAGUCACGAUGUUUCUGAAUGUCUUGUGAAGACCAGGGUCCUGAUCCCUUCUCUUUACUAACAAACUGUUUCUCUAAGACUGCAAGUGAUUUAUGGUAAUAGCAGGCAAAUUGCCAUAAACAUUAAAUUUCACUCUGCUGAA